CGGAGAUAAAAGGAUAUUUAUUAAUAUUUACCAACAGUACAUGCCCAAUAAAAUACAGAAAUAUCAAUGAGUCUAAAAUCCAAAGGAAUACAUCUUAAAAAAAUCUCUAAAGCCCAACAAAAAAUCAUAGGACCCAACCCUAAAAACCUGCUGAAAAACUUAAUCCGAGCAUAAGAUUCGGUUGAAGAUGAUAACAGCGUCGUUCCGAAAAGUCCAACCAUUGAAUAAGGAGGCAAUCCUAACAGUAGCGAGUUUUCUCCAACACCAUUAGCCAAAAAAACCUUAAAAAUCAUAUUGAAGUUCGAAAAAAAAAACUGCAACAAAAAACUUUUUCAUAUUGAUAGAAAACGAACACUUGAGCAAACAAAACACAAACAUAACUAUAUCAAUGGAUAAACAGUAAAAAUCUGGCACAAAAAGGAGAGAAAACCUUUGCUUAAUAACGUCAAGUUCACACUGUGCGAGUCAAGGUAGAUUGUUUGCGAUCCAACAACACCAGCAAAAGGGAAUGAAGAUGCAUUCUUCGGUAACUUUUUCAUGCCUUCCGAACUUCAACUCCACGAACCACUGCCAAUCUCCUGUCGCUGAGAUUUCACCUUAGAGAAAAGGAUCUAGAGUCCUUGCAACGCCUUAAAAAUUUGGAUCGUGAAUAGUAUUUCGGCCUAGCAAUAUCUAGCUUGAGGGCGGCAUAGCCCAUCCCUCUCCUACGCAAACCUUUCAUAAAAUGCAGAAUCUCAUUUGCUACAAUUAUGUUGUCCAUAAUAAGCCUGCCACCCACAAAAGCGCUCCUCAUUUAUUUAUUUUUGUAUUCUUAACUAAUUAAUAUUUUUCUAUUGAAUUUCUAUUUUUUCUCAGUUAAGAUAUAUUUACUAAAUCAAACUCCAUAUUUAUCCCCUUGACAUUCGACUAAAACUUUAAUCUUUCAUGUAAUAAAUAAAUAAAAAAAAAACUGUAAUCUUCCAUAAUUUGAGAAUUAGGAGGAAUAAAGAUUAAUUCUUUGAUGGAGAAAUUGAAUUAAAUUUAGAAGAGGCAUUCAAGACUUAAGAACAAGCCCUUUCUUUUAACUCCUAAAGAAAAAAUUUUCUAACCUCUUCUUGAAUCUAAAAUUUUACAAGAAUUUAAUUUAUUUUUUUUAUAAAUUUUUUUGUUUUAAAUUAAAAAAUUCAUUUCCUUUCUAACUUUCAAAAUUUUCAUUUUUAAAAAAUUAUUUAAAUUUUUUUCUUACAAAGUAAAUCUUAUUAAACGGAGAUAAAAAUUUCUAGAGCGCUUCAUCUAGUUUUUAUCCCUAUCG
rnacentral:lncRNA from 1 species